rnacentral:rRNA from 1 species
GGCGAUAAGGGGACCUCGAGUGCCAGGUUACAAAUCUGGCUGUCGUGAUGCAUAAAAAGCAUUGCAUAGCAAGGGCCGGGCAAGACCGGUGCCAGCCGCCGCGGUAACACCGGCGGCUCGAGUGGUAACCGUUAUUACUGGGUCUAAAGGGUCUGUAGCCGGCCGGAUAAGUCUCUUGAGAAAUCCAGCAGCUCAACUGUUGGGCUUUCAGGAGAUACUGUUCGGCUCGAGGCCGGGAGAGGUGAGAGGUACUUCAGGGGUAGGGGUGAAAUCUUGUAAUCCUUGAAGGACCACCAGUGGCGAAGGCGUCUCACCAGAACGGACCUGACGGCAAGGGACGAAAGCUAGGGGCACGAACCGGAUUAGAUACCCGGGUAGUCCUAGCCGUAAACGAUACUCGCUAGGUGUCGGCCACGGUGCGACCGUUGUCGGUGCCGUAGGGAAGCCGUGAAGCGAGCCACCUGGAAGUACGGCCGCAAGGCUGAAACUUAA